CCUUUGAGUUCAAGAGUACGUGAAACCGUUCAGGGGUAAACUGAGAAACCCGAAAGGUCGAAUGGGGAAAUUCAUUCGCGUUUCGAUUGUCGGCGGCGAGCGGUCGUGUGACGAACGGGGUACGCUUCGUUCGCGCCUUCAGUUCUUCGAACCGACUUCGAACGCGUGCACUUUUCCCCUAGUAGGACGUCGCGAUCCGUUGGGUGUCGAUCUAAGGCCGGCGGAGGAGUUCGUUCGGUUCGUCCGUACGAACCCGCUGUGUCCCGAUCGACUCGCUCGACGGUAUAAAGAUGGCGCGGGGCCGCUACUAUCAGUUAGCGUUCGACCUACGGCAAGCACGUACGUUGCGAUGGCGAUCAGACCUGGUCGGAUCCCGUCCUCGGACGACUGUUGGCACGUAGUGUUCUCGAACAGACCUCGUUGAAACGCCGAUCUGCGACGCUAUAGCUUUGGGUACUUUCAGGACCCGUCUUGAAACACGGACCAAAGGA
rnacentral:rRNA from 1 species